GGAGCGGCCGAUAUCUGAUUAGCUAGUUGGUGGGGUAAAGGCCUACCAAGGCGNNNACGAUCAGUAGCUGNGUCUGAGAGGACGACCAGCCACACUGGAACUGAGACACGGUCCAGACUNCUACGGGAGGCAGCANGUGGGGAAUUUUGGACAAUGGGCGCAAGCCUGAUCCAGCCAUUCCGCGUGAGUGAAGAAGGCCUUCGGGUUGUAAAGCUCUUNUCNGCANANGGGAAGAAACGAUACANGUCGNAAUANACUGUGNUUAAUGACGGUACCUUGAUAAGAAGCACCGGCUNAACUACGUGCCAGCNAGCCGCGGUNAAUACGUAGGGUGCGAGCGUUAAUCGGAAUUACUGGGCGUAAAGCGUGCGCAGGCGGUUUUGUAAGUCAGAUGUGAAAUCCCCGGGCUCAACCUGGGAAC
rnacentral:rRNA from 1 species